rnacentral:rRNA from 1 species
UGGGGAAUAUUGCACAAUGGGCGCAAGCCUGAUGCAGCCAUGCCGCGUGUGUGAAGAAGGCCUUCGGGUUGUAAAGCACUUUCAGCGAGGAGGAAGGGUAGUGUGUUAAUAGCACAUUGCAUUGACGUUACUCGCAGAAGAAGCACCGGCUAACUCCGUGCCAGCAGCCGCGGUAAUACGGAGGGUGCAAGCGUUAAUCGGAAUUACUGGGCGUAAAGCGCACGCUGGCGGUUUGUUAAGUCAGAUGUGAAAUCCCCGCGCUUAACGUGGGAACUGCAUUUGAAACUGGCAAGCUAGAGUCUUGUAGAGGGGGGUAGAAUUCCAGGUGUAGCGGUGAAAUGCGUAGAGAUCUGGAGGAAUACCGGUGGCGAAGGCGGCCCCCUGGACAAAGACUGACGCUCAGGUGCGAAAGCGUGGGGAGCAAACA